CCUACGGGUGGCAGCAGUGGGGAAUAUUGGACAAUGGGCGAAAGCCUGAUCCAGCCAUGCCGCGUGUGUGAAGAAGGCCUUCGGGUUGUAAAGCACUUUCAGUGGGGAAGAAAGCCUUGGGGCUAAUACCCUCGAGGAAGGACAUCACCCACAGAAGAAGCACCGGCUAAGUCCGUGCCAGCAGCCGCGGUAAUACGGAGGGUGCGAGCGUUAAUCGGAAUUACUGGGCGUAAAGCGCGCGUAGGCGGUCUGAUAAGCCGGUUGUGAAAGCCCCGGGCUCAACCUGGGAACGGCAUCCGGAACUGUCAGGCUAGAGUGCAGGAGAGGAAGGUAGAAUUCCCGGUGUAGCGGUGAAAUGCGUAGAGAUCGGGAGGAAUACCAGUGGCGAAGGCGGCCUUCUGGACUGACACUGACGCUGAGGUGCGAAAGCGUGGGUAGCAAACAGGAUUAGAUACCCCGGUAGUC
rnacentral:rRNA from 1 species